ACAUUCCUACGGGACGCAGCAGUGAGGAAUGUUGGUCAAUGGGCGAGAGCCUGAACCAGCCACGUCGCGUGAGGGAAGACGGUCCUAUGGAUUGUAAACCUCUUUUGUCGGGGAGCAAAAAGGCCUCGUGAGGCCACAAGUGAGAGUACCCGAAGAAAAAGCAUCGGCUAACUACGUGCCAGCAGCCGCGGUAAUACGUAGGGAGCAAGCGUUAUCCGGAUUUAUUGGGUGUAAAGGGUGCGUAGACGGGAAAACAAGUUAGUUGUGAAAUCCCUCGGCUUAACUGAGGAACUGCAACUAAAACU
rnacentral:rRNA from 1 species